UAGGGAAUCUUCGGCAAUGGACGAAAGUCUGACCGAGCAACGCCGCGUGAGUGAAGAAGGUUUUCGGAUCGUAAAACUCUGUUGUUAGAGAAGAACAAGGACGUUAUUAACUUAACGUCCCCUGACGGUAUCUAACCAGAAAGCCACGGCUAACUACGUGCCAGCAGCCGCGGUAAUACGUAGGUGGCAAGCGUUGUCCGGAUUUAUUGGGCGUAAAGCGAGCGCAGGCGGUUUCUUAAGUCUGAUGUGAAAGCCCCCGGCUCAACCGGGGAGGGUCAUUGGAAACUGGGAGACUUGAGUGCAGAAGAGGAGAGUGGAAUUCCAUGUGUAGCGGUGAAAUGCGUAAAUAUAUGGAGGAACACCAGUGGCGAAGGCGGCUCUCUGGUAUGUAACUGACGCUGAGGCUCGAAAGCGUGGGGAGCAAACAGG
rnacentral:rRNA from 1 species